GACGAACGCUGGCGGCGUGCUUAACACAUGCAAGUCGAACGAAGAGCGAUGGAAGCUUGCUUCUAUCAAUCUUAGUGGCGAACGGGUGAGUAACGCGUAAUCAACCUGCCCUUCAGAGGGGGACAACAGUUGGAAACGACUGCUAAUACCGUAUACGAUCUAAUCUCGGCAUCGAGGAUAGAUGAAAGGUGGCCUCUACAUGUAAGCUAUCACUGAAGGAGGGGAUUGCGUCUGAUUAGCUAGUUGGAGGGGUAACGGCCCACCAAGGCGAUGAUCAGUAGCCGGUCUGAGAGGAUGAACGGCCACAUUGGGACUGAGACACGGCCCAGACUCCUACGGGAGGCAGCAGUGGGGAAUCUUCCGCAAUGGACGAAAGUCUGACGGAGCAACGCCGCGUGAGUGAUGACGGCCUUCGGGUUGUAAAGCUCUGUUAAUCGGGACGAAAGGCCUUCUUGCGAAUAGUGAGAAGGAUUGACGGUACCGGAAUAGAAAGCCACGGCUAACUACGUG
rnacentral:rRNA from 1 species